UCGGGAAUAUUGGACAAUGGGCGAAAGCCUGAUCCAGCAAUGCCGCGUGAGUGAUGAAGGCCUUAGGGUUGUAAAGCUCUUUUACCAGGGAUGAUAAUGACAGUACCUGGAGAAUAAGCUCCGGCUAACUCCGUGCCAGCAGCCGCGGUAAUACGGAGGGAGCUAGCGUUGUUCGGAAUUACUGGGCGUAAAGCGUACGUAGGCGGUGACUCAAGUCAGAGGUGAAAGCCUGGAGCUCAACUCCAGAACUGCCUUUGAAACUAGGUCGCUAGAAUCACGGAGAGGUGAGUGGAAUUCCGAGUGUAGAGGUGAAAUGCGUAGAUAUCGGGAGGAACACCUGAGGCGAAGGCGGGCUACUGGGCUGAUACUGACGCUGAGGCGCGAAAGCUAGGGGAGCAAACGGGAUUAGAUACCCCCGUAGUCCCUGAGCGGGCUGGCAAGGCGCAU
rnacentral:rRNA from 1 species